AGCGAACGCUGGCGGCAUGCUUAACACAUGCAAGUCGCACGGAUCUUUCGGGAUCAGUGGCGGACGGGUGAGUAACGCGUAGGGAUCUAUCCAUGGGUGGGGGACAACUCCGGGAAACUGGAGCUAAUACCGCAUGAUACCUGAGGGUCAAAGGCGCAAGUCGCCUGUGGAGGAACCUGCGUUCGAUUAGUUAGUUGGUGGGGUAAAGGGCUACCAAGGCGAUGAUCGAUAGCGGGUUUGAGAGGAUGAUCAGCCACACUGGGACUGAGACACGGCCCACACUCCUGGGGGAGGACGCAGUCGAGAAUCUUACGCGAUGGGGGAGAGGGGGAUACAGCAAAACGGCGUGAGUGAUGAUGGAGUUCGGGUGGGUGUGCGCUGUUGUUCGGCAGGUAGUGCAGCACUUUCAACGGGGACUAUGAUGACGGUACCCGAAGAAGAAGCCCCGGCUAACUUCGUG
rnacentral:rRNA from 1 species